CGUUUUAGCUAAAUAAAAGUGUGUGAAAAUUGAAUGUUUUCUAUGAAAUCUAUCAAUUAAAGUGUGCUGCACGUGUGUUGUAUGAAAAAUAAAUGUUUGCCGGUGUUUUACGCUAGAAAUUUGUGGUGUUUGAAAACAAAAUUUUCACAUUUGCUUUUUUUUCACAUUUCGCUUGCCUGUUUCAUGGAAGCGCCGCUGCUGUGUUUGUCUGCAUUUUACACAACAACACUGCUGCCACUUCCAAUAGGUGGAAUGUCUGCAUUCUCCCACUCGCCCCAUUCGUAAACAAGCCGAGAGUGUAGUGUGUGUGUACGGUCGGCGGUGUUAGAAGUAGCAAAAUAAUAAUAAUGUGGUGAAGUGUAAAGCAUAAAUUAUGCCAGAUUUUAUGUGGUGAGUGCGGCAAUGUUAAUGAAAUGAGCAAAUUUCAUGUUUGUGUUAAUAUUAAGUGAGAAAUUCUUGUGACAAACGGUGUCGGUGCACAGUUUAUAAACAAAUCAAAUGUAGCCAUAAAAACCUGCAAUAACCAUUGUUGACAGCCGCAGCCGAUAAUAGCGACCAGUGCUGCCCUUUUGGAGUUGUCAACAUAAUGCCAGCCCGACGGUAAUGCAGUAACUCUGUACAUAUAUACAUAUAUGAAUGUGUGUGUGUAUAUUUUAGUUCUACGUCAAAACUUCUACAUUCCUUCCUGCCAUAAUUGUUUUUUUUCGUCUAACUCAAAACUAAAUUUAAUUUAAACUUUUAUAAAAAAAAAGUUUUCUACUUAAAAUAUGCGCUGAGUGUUUGAAGUUAAAAUUUAUAUACAUAUAUAAAUAUAAAUAUGAGUGUGUAUAUUCGCCGCUGUAAGUGAAGUAAACGGAAAAGAGCAAUAAAACCAUACGAAAGUUAUAGCAUGUAAAAUAAAUAAAUCGAAAAUAAAGAAAGCAAACGAAAUAUGUGAAAAGAAAUUAAAACAGACGAAACGAGGUAAAUAAGCAACAAAACUUUAUUGUGAUUUAAUAAAAUAAUAAUAACUACUUGCCAUACGAGCAAGGCAAAUAAAAGCUGAAAUCAUAAAGGAAACUAACGAAAACUAACAAAUUAUUAUAUAAAACACACAAAAAAACAAAAACAAAUAACAAAACAAAAAUGCAACUACACGAACCACAAAUCAAACGAAAAAUGUCGAUAAGUCGAUGUUGCCACAAUGCCAACGAUGGCUUCACGACCAUCGCAGCGACGCAAGUCUUCCUCGUACUGACGCUGUUCGUGAUUGGGAAUCUAAGUGCCUGGCAGGAGAAUGUGCGGCCGAAACUUUAUGUGGAAUUAGGUCCUGAAGAUGUGCUAAAAUUUCUCGGAAACGAAAGUGUCGUGGAUCAUUUUAAGCUUGUCACAAAGGAUGGCAACAGCCUGCUCGUCGGUGCCAGAAACAUCGUCUAUAACCUGAGUAUACACGAUUUAUCUGAGCAGCAGCGCUUAGUGUGGCAAUCCACGGAGGAUGACGUCAAGAUGUGCAUUAUCAAAGGCAAAGCCGAGGAGGCAUGUCAAAAUUACAUUCGCAUCAUGGUAGUGACGUCGCCGGGUCGUUUGUUCGUGUGCGGCACCAAUUCAUUUCGGCCUAUGUGUAAUACAUACAUAAUCAACGAGUACAACUAUACCCAGGAGGCGAACAAAAGCGGCCAAGCCGUAUGUCCCUACGAUCCGCAUCACAAUUCAACAUCAGUAUUUGCUGAUAACGAGCUAUACUCCGGCACUGUGGCCGAUUUUAGCGGCAGUGAUCCGAUUAUCUAUCGUGAGCCGCUACAGACGGAGCAAUACGACAGCCUAAGCCUCAAUGCGCCAAAUUUUGUCAGCUCUUUUACACAAGGUGACUUUGUGUAUUUUUUCUUCAGAGAAACGGCUGUGGAGUACAUCAAUUGCGGCAAGGCAAUUUACUCACGCGUCGCGCGUGUCUGCAAAUGGGACAAGGGCGGACCGCAUCGUUUUCGCAAUCGCUGGACGUCAUUCCUGAAAUCACGCCUCAACUGCUCCAUACCCGGCGAAUAUCCGUUCUACUUCAAUGAGAUACAAUCGGCUAGCAAUCUCGUCGAAGGACACUAUGGCCAAACAAGCGCCAAAUUGAUUUAUGGCGUUUUUAAUACACCAACAAAUUCAAUUCCCGGCUCGGCAGUUUGUGCAUUCUCACUGCAGAAAAUCGCCGACACAUUCGAGGGCAACUUUAAGGAGCAAAGCAGCAUUAACUCAAAUUGGUUGCCAGUCAAUAAUGCCAAGGUGCCCGAACCGCGACCCGGCUCCUGUCACAAUGAUUCACGAACACUGCCGGAACCGACGUUGAAUUUCAUCAAAACACAUUCGCUAAUGGAUGAGAACGUUCCGGCGUUUUUCGGUCAACCAAUUUUGGUCAGGACGAGCACAAUUUAUCGCUUCACACAAAUCGCUGUGGAUGCGCAGAUAAAAACGCCCGGCGGAAAGACUUACGACGUAAUAUUCAUCGGCACAGAUCACGGUAAGAUUAUUAAGUCCGUAAAUGCCGAAUCGGCCGAUUCAGAUGCGAAGGUCUCAUCGGUGGUGAUUGAGGAAAUCGAUGUGCUGCCGAAGAGUGAACCGAUUAGAAACUUGGAAAUUGUGCGCACGAUGCAAUACGACCAACCAAAGGACGGCAGCUACGAUGACGGAAAAUUAAUCAUUGUCACCGAUAGCCAAGUGAUUGCAAUACAAUUGCAUCGCUGUCACGAUGACAAAAUCACCAGCUGUAGUGAGUGCGUAGCGCUGCAGGAUCCAUACUGCGCUUGGGAUAAAAUUGCUGGAAAAUGCCGUUCGCAUGGUGCGCCACGUUGGCUGGAAGAGAAUUAUUUCUAUCAGAAUGUUGCAACCGGGCAACAUGCGGCAUGCCCAUCAGCAUACACUCCAUUCACAUUUGCAGGUAAAAUCAAUUCCAAAGAUGCGAAUGUCGGCGAACAGAAAGGCUAUCGUGACGAUAUGGAUUUGUUGGAUUCACGACGCCAAGGCAAGGAUCAGGAGAUCAUCAAUAUUAUGGGUGAUAAGAAUUUCGAAGGUCCACAAAUUUCAGCAGAUAUUAUCAAUGCGCAGUAUACCGUCGAAACGCUCGUUAUGGCCGUCUUAGCAGGUUCAAUUUUCUCCCUACUAGUGGGCUUCUUUACAGGCUACUUCUGUGGCCGACGCUGUCACAAGGAUGAGGAUGACAAUUUACCAUAUCCGGAUACGGAAUAUGAGUACUUUGAGCAGCGUCAAAAUGUCAAUCGCAUACAAGCCGAGCCCAAGCUUCUACCUCAAGUGGAGGAGGUGACGUACGCCGAACCGGUGCUCUUGCCACAGCCACCACCACAAAAUAAAAUGCAACAUUCACCAAAGAGUACGCUACGCAAGCCCAUGCAUCAUCAUGGACCCAACUCCGAAACGCUCUUCCAAUUCCAGCCCGAUGGCUAUAAUACACAACAGACAUAUCGCGGUCGCGACAAUUUCGGCACACUGCGAUCGCAUCAGGUGAUGGGUGAUAAUUACCGUCGUGGCGAUGGCUUUUCGACAACUCGCAGCGUUAAGAAGGUUUACCUUUGAGACGGGAAUGGGGCGGCUGAUACCAGUCAGGGACUAAUUACCCAAAAUAUGGCUGUAAACACAAAUACACGUAACAGAAGUCUUGGUCGUUUAAGAAGGCAGCCGCCCCGUCAUGGUAUUG
rnacentral:misc_RNA from 1 species